rnacentral:rRNA from 1 species
AGAGUUUGAUCCUGGCUCAGAUUGAACGCUGGCGGCAUGCCUUACACAUGCAAGUCGAACGGUAACGGGCCUUCGGGUGCCGACGAGUGGCGAACGGGUGAGUAAUGCAUCGGAACGUACCUUUCAGUGGGGAUAACGUAGCGAAAGUUACGCUAAUACCGCAUAUUCUGUGAGCAGGAAAGCAGGGGAUCGCAAGACCUUGCGCUGAUUGAGCGGCCGAUGUCAGAUUAGCUAGUUGGUGAGGUAAAGGCUCACCAAGGCGACGAUCUGUAGCGGGGUCUGAGAGGAUGAUCCGCCACACUGGAACUGAGACACGGUCCAGACUCCUACGGGAGGCAGCAGUGGGGAAUUUUGGACAAUGGGGGCAACCCUGAUCCAGCCAUGCCGCGUGAGUGAAGAAGGCCUUCGGGUUGUAAGGCUCUUUCGGCCGGGAAGAAAUCGCAUGGGUUAAUACCCUGUGCGGAUGACGGUACCGGCAUAAGAAGCACCGGCUAACUACGUG